rnacentral:rRNA from 1 species
GACGAACGCUGGCGGCGUGCCUAAUACAUGCAAGUUGAGCGCUGAAGGUUGGUACUUGUACCGACUGGAUGAGCAGCGAACGGGUGAGUAACGCGUGGGGAAUCUGCCUUUGAGCGGGGGACAACAUUUGGAAACGAAUGCUAAUACCACAUAAAAACUUUAAACACAAGUUUUAAGUUUGAAAGAUGCAAUUGCAUCACUCAAAGAUGAUCCCGCGUUGUAUUAGCUAGUUGGUGAGGUAAAGGCUCACCAAGGCGAUGAUACAUAGCCGACCUGAGAGGGUGAUCGGCCACAUUGGGACUGGGACACGGCCCAAACUCCUACGGGAGGCAGCAGUAGGGAAUCUUCGGCAAUGGACGAAAGUCUGACCGAGCAACGCCGCGUGAGUGAAGAAGGUUUUCGGAUCGUAAAACUCUGUUGGUAGAGAAGAACGUUGGUGAGAGUGGAAAGCUCAUCAAGUGACGGUAACUACCCAGAAAGGGACGGCUAACUACGCG